ACUUGUGCCCAGAGUUUGAUUUUCCACAGACCAGGUAGAGGCCAAGAGCCUCUCACAGACUCUGCAGCAGGGUUGCUAUGAUUAACUCUUAAGUACUCCACAACUACACGCUUUUGAAACUGGCGUUGGCAUAGCGUUAGUUCUGUGCAGGGCGGACGCAGCAGGACAGAAUCUCCCUGGGCAUCUUUUCGGAGCAUCAAUUUUACUGCAAAAUUUUGAAAAAACAAAUUUAAUUGAUUUCCAAGGUUUGUCAAGGAGGACAGAAACUCAGAGCACCCUGCACUUGGGGAUCGGCACUAGGAGCUGCUCUCUGGAUGGGGAGAUGGGAGCUAGCAGCUCACAAUGGGGUCACAAGACAGGAGUGUUAUUGGGAGAAUCCUGUUUUGUUGACAAAUACUGAGAUCAUCCAACUCACCAGGCAAAGUUGACUUGUGUAAGUGAUCUUCAGAUAUGAAAAGUGUGGAACCCAGCUGCUCCUCCUCAGAUAGGCGACAUGACAAUUGUAGGCCUGGAGGGAGAUGAGUUGACAACAUCCCUUCCCUAUAACCACUUGUUGGAUCUGAUCUCACAUACACAGACUCACUCCAAAGACUGACCUGGGUGUCUGCUUCUCAGCUUCAUUAACAGUGGGUGCUCACAAGUCUAGUAACAGGAUCUUCUACACUGUAGCUGCUUCCAGUGUGAGCCAGACAAAUGUACUGAAUAUAGGUAAGUACUGCUCAGUUUUCUCCAUGAGCUUCAUCCUCAGGGCCACGUUUCUUAUUCUGACAACACUUAGGGAUGCUUUCCUGGUAGGAAUACUGCUGUUCUUAAUUGCAUACAUGGUGACUCUCUUAUUCAGGCCUCAGAGGUGAUCCCACCACCUUCACAGCAAUGGUCCUUCCCCAGGAGCUUCCCCUGAGAAACGGGCCAUCCAGACCAUACUGCUGCUGAAUAAUGUCUCAUUGGAAAUCUCAACAUUCUUCAUUUAGAACACCACCGCCAAUAUCUACCAUAUGCCGGGAUUAUUGUGCAGGGUAAUUUUUAUUAUUACUUGAAUGUAUAUUUAUAUACUGCAGGAACUAUACAUGUUUAUGGCUAGAAUUACUGUUUUUCCUUAAUAUUAAGAUAGUAUUGGUAGAUUUAAUUAUCUGAAUUUAGUCAUUUGGCUCCAGUCAAAAUGGUUUCUCCUUAGCAGUACUCUGACUUUGUAAAAGUAAUCACAUUUGGAUUCUGUUUCCUCCAGUAGUUUUUAAAAUGAUUUUUUUGAUUAUUCAUAUAACUUUUUUUUAAUGAUCUUUUAAAAACUAGUAUGUGGUUAUAUAUUACUUGUUACACUUUUUGUUUUCUUUAUUUUUUGGUUGGUUACACCUUAAAUGAUUAUUUCUAUUGCCUUUUAAUGUUACUUAGAAAAUAUCACAUGUAAGACUUUUGCUUUUAUAAAGUUAGUAAUACAUUUUCAAGCCUAAACUCUUGAAAUUUUAAUAAUUUCUAUGAUAUUUGAAAAUUAUUUUUAUCUUCUUUUGAGUGCUAAAAGAUAAUAUUUGUCUACCUGAUUAACUAGCACAACUUUUAAAAAGUUAUUUAGCACUCUUUAUAUUCAUUCAUUUGUUUU
rnacentral:lncRNA from 1 species